rnacentral:rRNA from 1 species
UACAGAGGUCUCAAGCGUUGUUCGGAUUCAUUGGGCGUAAAGGGUGCGUAGGCGGCGCGGUAAGUCGGGGGUGAAAUCUCGGAGCUUAACUCCGAAACUGCAUUCGAUACUGCCGUGCUUGAGGACUGGAGAGGAGACUGGAAUUUACGGUGUAGCGGUGAAAUGCGUAGAUAUCGGAAGGAAGACCAGUGGCGAAGGCGGGUCUCUGGACAGUUCCUGACGCUGAGGCACGAAGGCCAGGGGAGCAAACGGG